rnacentral:lncRNA from 1 species
GUCAAGAUGAAGCUUUUCACAGAACUCAUAUUAUUAAUCAGAAAAAUCCUUUGGAUCACAGCCUUUUCAUAGCUUAAUAUACUGUAACACUGACCUUGAAGACACAUGCCUUUAAAGGACUGAUUAGCAGAAAAUAGGAAAGCUCUUGACACUCAGGAAACUUUGGGAUUUCAUAUCUGUUCUCUUGUACCUGCAGGUCCCAUCCUCCUUCCCAUCUGUUCCUUUCACUUCUGAUGAUGGAAUCCUACACCAUGGGCAGGAUUUUCACUUCUCAAUAUAGAACCCAUGUACCUUACCUCAUGGUCCAACUGACUUCCUGAGAAUAAAUCAUUGUCUUUGUAUUUCAUAAGCAGCAACAAACAUUGAUUUUGUUGUUAGUAUGUAUGAGCCUGCAUUCAUUCAACAAACUAUAUAUUUUAAUCAACAAGUGCCCUAAAAUUUUGGAUUUUAACGCCCUGAGAGAUCAACUUUUAAUCAGUUACUGAUUACAAUUUGAGGAGCCUUGUGUCCAGGCCAAAUGCCAUGUGACUUAUUCUCUGGUGACUUCAGUUUGCUAAGCAGCAGCUUCUCCUGGCAUGAGCCACUGCAGAUCUCCUCAUCAGACGGGCUGAGACUAUCCUGUGUGCCCUGCACUUGGAGUAAGGAGAACACAGCAAGGUUGGUCCAACAGGUAGGAGGAUACACUGCUCAGUUAGGUAGCCCAUCACUGUGGAAAAAUAAUAGCAAUUCUGUACAAUCAGAAAUCAACAUCUAAGAACUAAUGGGUACAGAAAAAAUUUCAUUUUUUUAUUAAUGUUUACCUAUUAUGGUUUGUAAAAUAACCUUGCCAUAAAUAUCUGCAGGAGGAAAAAAUUGAUAGCUCAAAAAAGUAUCCUUUUUUAAAAGUUCAUAUUCACAAGUGUCUAUGAAACCUUUGACUGAUUUUAGUGAUGGCCUUUUUUAAGAUGAAAUUGUAGGGAACUAUAAAGAGAUGCCUUAGGUGACCUGAGACAAUGCCUAUUUAAAAAUCCAUUUCUCCAAGGUCAUAGCUAACUGAUUCUUAAAUUUUCUUUGCUGAGGUAACCUUGUCCCACAGGCAAUUGUACUUCAAUUAUUUCUCAUUUCGCUUGACAAUAAUAGAAUUUCAUAUAGAAAAUGAUGGUAUAGUUAUAAAAAGUGUCUAAAAUAGGUAAUCAUAACAAUGUUUUUAUUUAAAAUGAUAAAAAGCAAAGAUAAAUGCUCAGAAUAUUUCUUUAUACACUAACUUUUUGUGGUAAAUAACAUGCUAAGUUUAUAAAAAUGAUUGCAGCCUUCCUGGAGUAUGACUCAGAAAAAGAAGGACCACAGCACCACACUGGCAAGAGGUAACUUGAACCAUAAUUUUACCUUUCCCACCAUCACCUCUAUGAUGUGGGCCGGUAACUUAAUCUCUCUAAACAAACUGUUUCCUGGCACCUGAAGUGAAGAGUUAUUUCGAAAUGCCUUUUAAAUACUGAUUGAGUUUGACAGCGAAGCACAACUGUGAGCGGAGGGCAAGGUGACAGCUCUGAACUAAUUCUCUACGAGAUAAUUUGCCGAAAGUAAAUUCAACACAGUGCACAUUCACCACAUUCCUUUCUUCUUUUCAGUAUUUACAAAGUUUACAGCAGUGUGUACUGAAUGUGCUGGUUUUCGCCACUUUUGAAGAUUCCUGUAAGGAUUUAGCUGAGAGUUUUCCAAUCGCUAACAGCAUUUGAAAGAACACCCCGUUUGUCUUUGUCUUGGCCCCCACCCAC